GAUGAACGCUGGCGGCGUGCCUAAUACAUGCAAGUAGAACGCUGAAGGAAGGAGCUUGCUCUUUCCGGGUGAGUUGCGCACGGGUGAGUAACGCGUAGGUAACCUGCCUGGUAGCGGGGGAUAACUAUUGGAAACGAUAGCUAAUACCGCAUAACAGUAGAUGUUGCAUGAUAUCUACUUAAAAGGUGCAAUUGCACCACUACCAGAUGGACCUGCGUUGUAUUAGGUAGUUGGUGAGGUAACGGCUCACCAAGGCGAGGUUACAUAGCCAGCCUGAGAGGGCGGGUGGCCACACUGGGAGGGAGACACGGCCCAGAGGGACUGGGAAGGCAGCCGGACGGAUACGGGAGCAAUGGAUGGAAGUUUGUGCGAGAAAGGCCGAGGGAGGGAGGAAGGUCGCCGGAUCGUGAAGGUCGGUCGUAAGAGAAGAAAGAGUGCGAGAGUGUAAAGUUCACACUGUGACGGUAUCUGAUCAGAAAGGGACGGCUAACUACGUG
rnacentral:rRNA from 1 species